GCCUUCGUGGUGUAGUGGUCAGCACGCUGGAUGCGUAUUUGAGGGGUCCGUGGUUCGAGUCUCGGCAAAGGCA
rfam:Stegodyphus mimosarum contig26341, whole genome shotgun sequence.